AGAGUUUGAUCCUGGCUCAGGAUGAACGCUGGCGGCGUGCUUAACACAUGCAAGUCGAACGAUCCUUCGGGAUAGUGGCGGACGGGUGAGUAACGCGUGGGAAUCUGCCCUCAGGAGGGGGAUAACGGCUGGAAACGGCCGCUAAUACCCCAUAUGCCGAGAGGUGAAAUGAAUUUCGCCUGAGGAUGAGCCCGCGUCUGAUUAGCUAGUUGGUGGGGUAAAGGCCUACCAAGGCAACGAUCAGUAGCUGGUCUGAGAGGAUGAUCAGCCACACUGGGACUGAGACACGGCCCAGACUCCUACGGGAGGCAGCAGUGGGGAAUUUUCCGCAAUGGGCGAAAGCCUGACGGAGCAACGCCGCGUGAGGGAUGAAGGCCUCUGGGCUGUAAACCUCUUUUCUCAAGGAAGAAGACCUGACGGUACUUGAGGAAUAAGCCACGGCUAAUUCCGUGCCAGCAGCCGCGGUAAUUCGGGAGUGGCAAGCGUUAUCCGGAAUUAUUGGGCGUAAAGCGUCCGCAGGCGGCCUUGUAAGUCUGUUGUUAAAGCGUGGAGCUCAACUCCAUUUAAGCAAUGGAAACUACAAGGCUGGAGUGUGGUAGGGGCAGAGGGAAUUCCCGGUGUAGCGGUGAAAUGCGUAGAUAUCGGGAAGAACACCAGUGGCGAAGGCGCUCUGCUGGGCCAUAACUGACGCUCAUGGACGAAAGCCAGGGGAGCGAAAGGGAUUAGAUACCCCUGUAGUCCUGGCCGUAAACGAUGAACACUAGGUGUCGGGGGAAUCGACCCCCUCGGUGUCGUAGCCAACGCGUUAAGUGUUCCGCCUGGGGAGUACGCACGCAAGUGUGAAACUCAAAGGAAUUGACGGGGGCCCGCACAAGCGGUGGAGUAUGUGGUUUAAUUCGAUGCAACGCGAAGAACCUUACCAGGGUUUGACAUCCUGCGAACCCCUGAGAAAUCGGGGGGUGCCUUCGGGAGCGCAGAGACAGGUGGUGCAUGGCUGUCGUCAGCUCGUGUCGUGAGAUGUUGGGUUAAGUCCCGCAACGAGCGCAACCCACGUCUUUAGUUGCCAGCAUUCAGUUGGGCACUCUAGAGAGACCGCCGGUGAUAAACCGGAGGAAGGUGUGGAUGACGUCAAGUCAUCAUGCCCCUUACAUCCUGGGCUACACACGUACUACAAUGCUACGGACAAAGGGCAGCGAGCUCGCGAGAGUUAGCAAAUCCCAUAAACCGUGGCUCAGUUCAGAUCGUAGGCUGCAACUCGCCUACGUGAAGGAGGAAUCGCUAGUAAUCGCAGGUCAGCAUACUGCGGUGAAUACGUUCCCGGGCCUUGUACACACCGCCCGUCACACCAUGGAAGUUGGCCAUGCCCGAAGUCGUUACUCCAACCCUUGUGGAGGAGGACGCCGAAGGUGGGGCUGAUGACUGGGGUGAAGUCGUAACAAGGUA
rnacentral:rRNA from 1 species